rnacentral:rRNA from 1 species
UCAUUACCGAGUUCCAGCAACUCCCAACCCUUGCGAACCGUACCCCAGUCUGUUCUCGUUGCUUCCGGCGGGGCCGGGCAGGCGGGCGCGGGAGGCGGGGGGGCCUAAUCGCCCCGCCGCCUUCCUCUCCCCUCCUGCCCGCCCGCCGGGGGCGGCGGGCCCUCUGAACCUUUUUUAUCUCAACCACCGAAGCCUUCUGAGCAAAAACACAAAAAUGAAUCAAAACUUUCAACAACGGAUCUCUUGGUUCUGGCAUCGAUGAAGAACGCAGCGAAAUGCGAUACGUAAUGUGAAUUGCAGAAUUCAGCGAACCAUCGAAUCUUUGAACGCACAUUGCGCCUGCCAGUAUUCUGGCAGGCAUGCCUGUCCGAGCGUCAUUUCCCCCCUCACGCGCCCCGUUGCGCGCUGGUGUUGGGGCUCCUCCGCCUGGCGGAGGGCCCCGAAAGCGAGUGGCGGGCCCGGCUGGUUGGCUCCGAGCGCAGUACCGAACGCACCGUUCUCCCCUCGCUCAGCAGCCCCGCCGGCGCCCUGCCAGCAAAACAGAGACAAGCUCUCUUUUUUUACAAGGUU